CCAGCCAUCUGCUGCCUCACCAGCUGCUCUCGGUGCAGGAUGAAACUUAUCUCAAUUCAGGAACCCGGGCCUCAGGCAGAGGGGUGGAAGGAGCACCGCUGACCUCACAAGUGCUGUCUGCAGGAUGUGCGCCCAGACUGGUGCAGACGUUGGAAAUUGGACGAAUCUCUUGUGGUAUCUCCCACUUCGGUCAGCACAAGCAGAGCAUUUCCCCAGCAGUGGAGAAAGACAUGGAUCAUUCCUGUUUGUCCCAUGCACUGGCUCAUCAGAUGUUUCUAGAGAAGCUUCUGCGAUGUCCUUCCUUCAACAAACCAUGCACUGGGGCACCCAGACUGCAAUGAGUAGCAGCCUUGCUGAUGGAAAGAAGAUGCUGUCUGGAUCCCAUGGAAA